rnacentral:rRNA from 1 species
AACGAACGCUGGCGGCAUGCCUAACACAUGCAAGUCGAACGAAGUCUUCGGACUUAGUGGCGCACGGGUGCGUAACGCGUGGGUAUCUGCCCUUGGGUACGGAAUAACUCAGAGAAAUUUGUGCUAAUACCGUAUAAUGUCUUCGGACCAAAGAUUUAUCGCCCAAGGAUGAGCCCGCGUAAGAUUAGCUAGUUGGUGGGGUAAAAGCCUACCAAGGCGACGAUCUUUAGCUGGUCUGAGAGGAUGAUCAGCCACACUGGGACUGAGACACGGCCCAGACUCCUACGGGAGGCAGCAGUGGGGAAUAUUGGACAAUGGGCGAAAGCCUGAUCCAGCAAUGCCGCGUGAGUGAUGAAGGCCCUAGGGUUGUAAAGCUCUUUUACCAGGGAUGAUAAUGACAGUACCUGGAGAAUAAGCUCCGGCUAACUCCGUG